UACGAAGGGGGCUAGGCGUUGCUCGGAAUCACUGGGCGUAAAGGGUGCGUAGGCGGGUCUUUAAGUCAGGGGUGAAAUCCUGGAGCUCAACUCCAGAACUGCCUUUGAUACUGAGGAUCUUGAGUUCGGGAGAGGGUGAGUGGAACUGCGAAGUGUAGAGGUGAAAUUCGAUAGAUAUUCGCAAGAACACCAGUGGCGAAGGCGGCUCACUGGCCCGAUACUGACGCUGAUGCACGAAAGCGUGGGGAGCAAACAGG
rnacentral:rRNA from 1 species